GACAGAGGUGCCAAGCGUUAGGCGGAAUCACUGGCUUAAAGCGUGUGUAGGCAGACUUGUAAGUACCUUGUGAAAUCCCACGGCUCACCCGUGGAACUGCUGGGUAUACUGCGAGUCUGAGCCACUUAGGGCUGUCGGAACAGGCGGUGGAGCGGUGAAUGCGUAGAUAUCGCCUGGAACGCCAAAGGUGAAAAACAGACAGCUGGGGGAGUGUGCUGACGCUGAGACACGAAAGCCAGGGGGAGCGAACGGG
rnacentral:rRNA from 1 species